ACAAAUGCAAACUUUAAUUCCAUACAAUCAUUUCAAUGUAAGAUUUAAAAUCUAUGAAACUAUUAUUUUAUGGUUUAUAAAAUGUGUAAAAAAUUUUACAGGAAGUUUAGAUAAUUAUUUAUUAAUGUGUUUGUGCACAAUAGACCUAUAUUGGUCGCAGUGCUCGGGCUGUAUAGGCCCCUCCCUCUCUACUACUACUACUAUUAAUGUGUUUAAAAGACUAUAGAUAUUAAUAUAAAACCUUUUUAUUCACCUGUUGAUAAACCACAUUUAUUUUGAAUUUCUAUGCAUUUUUUCCCCAUGUAUUGUCUCUAUAUUUGAAAAGCUUAGUAUUAUAUAAACAAGGGUAAUCUUUAAUUGCCUCAAUAAAAAAUUCAACAUUGCUAUUUGAAUGCUCU
rnacentral:lncRNA from 1 species